rnacentral:lncRNA from 1 species
UGCUCGUGCGUCAGAUCUUUCAUUGUCUCCUCUGUUUUCGUUCCCAGGUUCGAAAUCCGCAACGGCAACAGCCUGCGUUUGUUCCGCGUGAAAGAGCAGGAUGAAGGGACGUAUACCUGCACGUCUGAGAACAGCGUGGGCAAGACGGAGGCCUCGGCCAUGCUGCAGGUCCACGUGCCGCCUCAGAUUGCUGCCAAGCCACGAGACCAGAUUGCCACCCAGGGAAGGAGCAUCACCUUCCAGUGCGGCACCACAGGAAACCCUCCACCUGCCAUUUUCUGGCAGAAAGAGGGCAGCCAGAUGCUGUUGUUCCCGGGCCAGCCGCCGUCACAGUCGGGCCGUUACUCCGUCUCCAUGAGCGGAGAGCUGACCAUCACCGACGUCCACCCCGAGGACUCGGGCUUCUAUAUCUG